rnacentral:rRNA from 1 species
GAUGAACGCUGGCGGCGUGCCUAAUACAUGCAAGUCGAGCGAACAGAUGAGGCGCUUGCUCCUCUGACGUUAGCGGCGGACGGGUGAGUAACACGUGGAUAACCUACCUAUAAGACUGGGAUAACUUCGGGAAACCGGAGCUAAUACCGGAUAAUAUAUUGAACCGCAUGGUUCAAUAGUGAAAUACGGUUUUGCUGUCACUUAUCGAUGGAUCCGCGCCGCAUUAGCUAGUUGGUAAGGUAACGGCUUACCAAGGCAACGAUGCGUAGCCGACCUGAGAGGGGGAUCGCCCACACUGGAGCGGAGACACGGUCCAGACGCCUACGGGAGGCAGCAGUAGGGAAUCUGCCGCAAUGGGCGAAAGCCUUACGGAGCAGCGCCGCGUGAGUGAUGAAGGUCUUCGGAUCGUAAAGCUCGGUUAUGAGUGAAGAACAAAUGUGUAAGGAACUAUGCACGUCGUGACGGUACCGAAUCAGAAAGCAACGGCUAACUACGUG